rnacentral:rRNA from 1 species
UACGUAGGGGGCGAGCGUUAUCCGGAAUUACUGGGCGUAAAGCGCACGCAGGCGGUUCGCCAAGUUUGGCGUGACAGUUGUCGGCUCAACCGACAAAAGACUUCAAAAACUGGUGAACUUGAGGACGAGAGAGGAACAUGGAACUCCAGGUGUAGUAGUGAAAUGCGUAGAUAUCUGGAAGAACACCAAUGGCGAAGGCAAUGUUCUGGCUCGUUUCUGACGCUCAGGUGCGAAAGCCAGGGGAGCGAACGGG